rnacentral:tRNA from 1 species
CGGGGCGUAGCGCAGCCUGGUAGCGCAUCUGCCUGGGGGCAGAGGGUCGUCGGUUCAAAUCCGGCCGUCCCGACCA